UCCCCCGUGGCGCAAUUGGCUAGCGCGUCAGACUGUUAUCUCACAGGCAUCUGGAGGCUGGUGGUUCGAGCCCACCCGGGGGAG
rnacentral:tRNA from 1 species